CAUUAGAGAGAUAAUGGGAAAAGAGAAUUUGAAGGUAAGUAUUGAUCAUUAGCAAUAGCAACAAUAACUACCAUAAGUUGAAAUGCCCCACAGUCUUUGGGGAUGUGAUACAUGAGGGUAGGCAGGGCUAGAUGGGAUGAGGUAGGAUCUAGACAUCAGACUCAGGAGAUAUGAGUGGUAUAUAUAAGGUUAACAUCUAGUCAAAUGUAUAAACAGGUUGAUUUUAAUUGACGUCGGUUUUUCUCCAUUGCCCCCUCUAGAGGCAAUCUUCAGAGAGUCCUGGCUAGGUCUUCUAUGUUUCCUGUCCCUAGAGGGAGCUCCUGAGGCUGUGGACAUCCGUUAACAUGCUGAUGUCACUGGAGACCACAUCUUACAGGGCCAAGAGACAGAUUUGCUUUCCUUUUUCUCAUGCUUGCAAGCUCCUUCACCCGGAAACAUGAUUUACCUGGGUCCUGCCAUGGUUUCUAGGCUUCUCAGUUUAGUGUCCCUUUGUCUCCUGGGAGCAAAACAUACAGAAGCUGGAGUUACUCAGUUCCCCAGCCACAGGGUAAUAGAGAAGGGCCAGACUGUGACUCUGAGAUGUGACCCAAUUUCUGGACAUGAUUAUCUUUAUUGGUAUCGACGUGUUAUGGGAAAAGAAAUAAAAUUUCUGAUAUCCUUUAUGAGAGUGUCUACGCAGGAUGAGUCCGGUAUGCCCAACAAGCGAUUCUCAGCUGAAAGGACUGGAGGGACGUAUUCUACUCUGAAGGUGCAGCCUGCAGAACUGGAGGAUUCUGGAGUUUAUUUCUGUGCCAGCAGCCAAGACAUAGUGCUUCACAGUCAUGUCCUUGCUGUACAAAACCAUAGCCUUCUCCUCUCAACUCACAGCCGCCCAAAAGGAAGGCUUUCCCUGUGCCUCCUCCCCCAAGGGAGGGGAGAUAAAGAACCAGAACUAACUCAUGAAAUACAAGAGUAUUCCAAGAAGAUUUGGAUGAAAAUACUUGUAGUUUGGGGGAUCUCUGAAGUUCUUUAAACAGAACUCAAUCUAUGUGUUUCUGGUUUUAUUUUUUAAAGUGUUAUGUUGCCCUGGUUAAAAAGCACAGCAGCCUUCUUGUUUAUCCUGUUGCUCUGAAAGGUUUGUGACUCUGACUGUGAGGCCACAUCUUUAUAUCCCUUCUUAUAGUAAGAUAAACAAGUCUUUCUGAUGAAAAUAAAAAUAGUGAAUAAAAAUGCAUUUACUACAGGCUUUUAUGUUGCUCAAUGAUGAUGCUAGUAAGGGUGAUAGUGGUGACGCUGGUAAUGGUGGUGAUGAGUUUAGGUUGCUUUUGUCUAGCAUUUAUAAAUUUCCAAACACUUUAAAACAAUGUCAUUUUAGAGUGGAACGGCCAAGUCCAUU